UACGGGGGGGGCAAGCGUUGUUCGGAAUUACUGGGCGUAAAGGGCUCGUAGGCGGCCAACUAAGUCAGACGUGAAAUUCCUCGGCUUAACCGGGGAACUGCGUCUGAUACUGGAUGGCUUGAAUCCGGGAGAGGGAUGCGGAAUUCCAGGUGUAGCGGUGAAAUGCGUAGAUAUCUGGAGGAACACCGGUGGCGAAGGCGGCAUCCUGGACCGGCAUUGACGCUGAGGAGCGAAAGCCAGGGGAGCAAACGGG
rnacentral:rRNA from 1 species